CCCUGGCAGUGCCCAAGGCCAGGUUGGACACUGGGGCUGGGAGCAGCCUGGCACAGUGGAAGGUGUCCCUGCCAGGUGUCCCCAGGGAUGGGAAUGAGAUCUCCAAGGUCCCUUCCAGCCCAAACCUGGCUUGGACUGCAC